ensembl:snoRNA
AAGGCUGCUGUGAUGACUGCAUAGUUCAGCAGAUGACCCGUGGUGAUCAAAACCAGUGUCUUUCGCCUCCUAUCUGAUGCAGCCUC